GGGAGCCAGGUGAGAGUUCAGAGGUGUACAGUGCACACAUCACAUGUCUUGUACUAGAAGCCUUUACUAAGUAUGACCACAGUGCACACGGAGAGAAAUUUUGCCUUUUUGUUACUGGUUUGGACUCAGAUUUGCAAUCAAAAGUUCAUGGGAUGGGCGCAGAGAGUCUGGAGGAUGCUCUGUGUAUUGCCAGCUGCUGUGAGAGGGCACAUGCAGCGCUGCAACUGACAUCUGCAGGACCAGCACAAACUGCCAUCAAACCAGGUAGCCAUGGUUCAACCAAAACCUAAUGAUGACAAACUUCUACAUGCAGUUGAUCAGCUUACUGUUACUGUAUCAAGCUAUCAAAGUAUGAAGGACAACAGUUAAAAGAAUUAUACAAUCAUCCUCCUCAGUGUUUGGACGUCAGACCUGACAGGUCCUCUUUCCAUGAUGCUCAUUACAAGGUAUGCAGCCCCUCUCCUUCCCCUUAUUGUGCCAGAAAAUAUCCUCGAGAGCAUUGCACACCAGAGCCAUGUUAUGGAUUUGAUCAAGAGUCUUGCUGUGAAUGUUCCUCAUUCUCGUACUGUAUGUCAGAGGAACCCUGAGUGGGACAAAAGAGACAACCGGGACUCUUCACCACAUCCACCUCAACAUUGCUCAAGGUAUGAGCAUCAUGACAAUGACAGUAGCAGAAACAGACAAUGCUUAUGCACAGCUCCACAGAGAAAUGGGAUGCGAGUCCAUACACAAGAAUCAGCAUUCGCUUUCAGUCUCCAGAGAAGCCCACACACACAGGCAACAAUCGUCAGGGAAACUUCCACUUGCUGCUGUUGAGGGGCAAACAUCAGCUUUUAUAUCGCAGCCCCACAUUGACCUGGAAAAAAGUGACUCACAACCUGAUGAUUCUGUUUCCUACAACGUUUUUGCCAUAAUUGAGGGCAUAGAAAUUUGUGCAUUAAUUGAUUAUUGCUCUUUUGUCUGUAUUGUGAGUGAAAAUUUUUGAAGCUCUCAUCCAGCUUUGAAAAAGUGCCCCAUGAGAGCCUCCUUUGUACCAGCUUGUUCAGUCAAUGUACAGCACUCGGACACUUUAGGCAAGUUAAGCAGUAUUUUGAAGCUCUUAGAGGUACUUACCAGCCAGUGAUCUUAGGUUGGGAUUUUCUCUAAAAACAUCAUGCAUUCAUGGACAUUAAAAACAAGGCACUGCAACAAGGGGACACAAAAAUUCCCCUACUUGCUGCUUGUUGUAAUAUGUCUGUGCCUCCACUAACAUUUUACCCCCAUACACAGGGUAAGUUGACCAUAAGAGACUACUUUAAUUUUGGCAUGCUAUAUUAUCAAGACAGUUAUGUUUACACUUAUUCUGUUGGUUUGCAGGGAUGCACAACAUCUUGAAAUAUAUGCAGAUAUACUAGUUAGAGACAAAACUAUGAUUGCCUUGAUGUAGUGAUUCGAAAUAUGAAAAAUGGCUCAUCUUACCCCACUCUCCCCUACAUAGAACUCAGGACACAUUACAAUACAUUAACAUACAUUAACAUACACAACAUACACAACAUAUAACAAAUACAGACAUCUUGCUCACCCUAAUCCCACACACAACCCCAAC
rnacentral:lncRNA from 1 species